rfam:Stegodyphus mimosarum contig41117, whole genome shotgun sequence.
GCCUUGGUGGUGUAGUAGUCAGCACACUCGACGUGUAUUCCAGAGGUCCGUGGUUCGAGUCCCGGUGAAGGCA